CGUGGAGUCUGCUUGCAAUUCUUUCUCUCUGCCCCUCCUGCUCAUUCUCUCUCUCUCUCUCUCUCUCUCUCAAGUAAAUAAAUACGAGUUGGGAAGCCCUGAAGGGGGAGCACUCACGUAAGUACCACUGGCUGCGGUGAGCAUCACCAGCAUAAAGAAUUAUUUGUGACGAGCGGACAUUUUUCACAUAGGAAUUCCAUCUCCUGCUUUUAAGAGAAAGAAGGAAGAUCCCUCUCCGCCCCAGCAACAGCACAUUGAGCGCGCUUGCAGCCAACGAGAAACUGUCCAGCCUCGAACUCGCCUUCUUCUCCACUGAACUUUUGUUUAAAGCACCCCUCCCCAAUUUCCUCCUAAGACCUGAUAGAAGCUGACCUUUCCUCGCCUCUCCAGACUUGCCUAUGGCUCACCAGAGCUCGCACGGCGGAGCUGCAAUUUCUCUGCUAUUCCUGAAUAAGCUCGUUUUGCUAGUAAGGUAACUGGCUCUUCACUUCUUAAGGCUGACAAUACAGACAGCGUAAGAAUGAACCACAUGGUCCAAGACCAAGGGAUGGCGUCAACAGGUGUGCCUGAGGGUACGUCACUCAUUUACGCUCACUGAAUUCCACAGACACCGGUGCAGGCUCUUCUCCCCGAGAAAUCACACGCUUUGGGGUAGUGCUUCUCCGGACUCCAUAGCGACUCUGCAGGGCGUGGUAAGAGCCCCAACAGAGGGACUAAGGCACCAAGAGGAUGAGGACUCCCGGAGUUUGGGGCACAGCGCAGACUCUGCAGACUGUACUGGACUUGGGGCCCGCCCCGUCAGGGCACACGCGGGCGACAGCGGGCAGCCAGCCGGCGCACGCUGACGGCAGGCCCGCGCUCCCCGGACCUCCGCCAGCAUCCGCACCCGCCACAGGCGCCCCGGGCGCGGGCGGACCCGACGCAGCGUCCACGCGCCCCGGCCAGGCCGGUCCUCCGAGCCCAGCGGGGACACGCCCCUGCGGCGGCACUCGCCGCGGGGGCGGCCCGCAGAGGCAAGCGAGGCGACACCACGCAGCGCCAACCGCCCGCGGGCGCGUCCCGGGGCCGGGAGCCGCUCCGCCCCGCCCUCCCCGUGACGUCACAGACCGCGACGCCCGUGCGUCAUCGCGGCGCGCCGCGGCCGCGGAGCCCUGGCGCCGACGGACCAUGGCGGAGGUUGGCCGGGCGGCGGUGCGGGACCCGGGCGCGCUACUCCCUGGGGGCUUCUGGGCGGCGGUGGCCGUGUGGCUGGAGAGGCCGCAGGUGGCCAACAGGCGGCUGUGUGGCGUCCGCCUGGACGCCCGGCGGAGUGUCGGUUUUCCCCGGGCGGAGGCCUGCGGCCACAGUCCCAUCACCGGCCCGCAGCAGGGGGAGCGGGCCGCGGCCGGAGCCUGUCUGCGCUCCCCCGCUGGGGGCCUGGGCCCCGGGCCGGGCGCGGCGGGCCGCGGGCCCGAGGAGUCGCAGCCCCGGCGCCCGCACGGCGAGGACCCCAGGGAAGCAGCCGCCGCGGCUCAGCUCGCGGGGUGCCCCGCGCAGCCCGGCAAGGCUGGGGUCGGACAGGGCGAGUGCCCCGCCUCGGAUCUGGAUUCCCUCUGGGACGCUUUCUCUCGGAGCCUCGCCGGCGGCAACCCAGACAUGCGGGCCUUUCUUACCGGGUCCCGGGCGGGAUCGCGGCCGGAGGCGCCAAGCGAGCUCGACGUGGUUCUCAGGACCGUCAUCCCGAAAACAGGCCCUCAGUGCCCGCUUGCUGCUCCGAGGAGAGAAAUCGUCGUGCAAGAUGUCCUCAAUGGAACUGUAACUUUUUUACCUUUGGAAGAAGAUGACAGAGGGAAUGUAAAGGUUGAGAUGAGCAACGUGUAUCAAGUCCGGCUCAGUCAGAGCCAGGAAGAAUGGUUCAUAUCUAUUUUAAUUUUCUGUCCAGAAAAAUGGCAUUCAGAUGGCAUUGUUUAUCCCAAACCCGCCUGGCUGGUAGAAGAGCUGCUGGCCAGGCUGGCCCGGUGGUCUGUGGAGAGCAAGAGGAGUGGAUUUAAAAGCACCCUGUCCCUCAUUUCCAUCAUCAAAUACAGCAAGACGUACCAGAUGCUCAAGGAGAAGUAUAAAGAUAUGGUCAAGGUGUGGCCUGAAGUAACCGAUCCCGAAAAGUUUGUGUAUGAAGAUGUGGCCAUCGCUGCGUACCUGCUGAUUUUGUGGGAAGAAGAAAGAGCUGAGCGGGGCUUGAUGGCCAAGCAGUCCUUUGUUGACUUAGGAUGCGGGAACGGUCUCCUGGUGCACAUCCUGAGCACGGAGGGGCAUCCAGGCAGAGGGAUCGAUGUCCGAAGAAGAAAAAUCUGGGACACGUAUGGACCACAAACUUGCUUAGAGGAAGGUGCAAUCACACCAAAUGAUAAGAACCUUUUCCCUGACGUCGACUGGUUAAUUGGUAACCAUUCCGAUGAACUAACACCAUGGAUACCUGUCAUUGCGGCCAGGUCCUCCUACGGCUGCCGUUUCUUUGUCCUUCCCUGCUGCUUCUUUGGCUUCACUGGGAAAUAUUCCCGGAGGCAGAGCCGGAAGACUCAGUACCGAGAGUACCUUGAUUUCAUCAAGGAAGUGGGGCUGGCCUGCGGGUUUCACGUCGAGGAGGACUGCCUGCGCAUUCCCUCAACCAAAAGGGUUUGUCUCAUUGGGAAAUCCAGAACAUACUCACCUGCUGGAGAAGGUUCCAUGGAUGAGCAGAGAACCCAGUACAUUAACAGCAGGCGGGGCCGCCCCAUGAGCCCACCUGGCGAGGCGCCUGCCCCUCCUCCACCCCGGGCCGCUGUGGGACGCGCAGGUCACCCCGACGGGCCCCAGGCCCCGGACGCCGAGGCUGCCAAGGGAGGGGCAGAGGCCCGAGCCGACCAACUCUGGCUGUCUGGAUUUCAGCCUAGAGAAAAAGCUGAGCGCGUGAGGAAUUGUGCCACCCUCCCUCGAGAUUUUAUUGACCAAGUGGUUUUGCAAGUGGCACAUUUGCUGUUGGAUGGAGAGCAGUUAAACACAGGAAGUGCUCCAAGCAGCAGCUCGAAGGCCUGGAACCGAGGAGGAAGCCUCUCCUUGGCGGAAGUAGCCCGUAAGCUGGACAGGGGGACGCUGCAGAGGUUGAAGCGGGAAUGUGGAGGCCUGCAGACGCUGCUCAGAAACAACCAUCAGGUGUUCGAGGAUAACUCACCGAGCACCUGCUGCGGGCCCAGUCCUGCCCUCGGCCCGGAGUCUACGACGGGGAAGAAUCCACGCUGAGCCACGCUGGCCGCAGGGAGCUUGCCACCAAGUGAGGGGCGGCCGGUAACUCACGUCCUGGCUUCACUCUUGGCCCCAGGCCCCUAAAAUGGUGGAUGCGCUGGGCACACACAGCAUCUCCAGGCCUGCUCUGGGUGCAGGUGCUGCAGACAGAGCCCCUACCCCCAGGCUGCUGGGGACACAGAGCCGGGGCCGGGGGAGCACAGGGAAGGGCCAGACCCAGGCUGGGGAGGGGUGAGUCAGGGAGGCUUGCAGGGGGAGGUUGCCUUUGGGACGAGCCUAAAGGUCACGUAGGAGGCGAGGGCUGUAGGGUUGCUCCUAGCUCAGGGAGCAGGGUAUCUCUCCUCCUGCAAUACUGUUUCCCCAAAUCGCUCCCUGCUCCCUUCAGCCUCAUCUCCAGUACCUCUCCCCAGUGUGGGAUGAUGUGGGCCAUGCCCACUUUAGCUUCUGGGAGCAGAGGCUUGUGUCCUGUCCGGCCGUCCCCCUGGAGUCCAGCCCAGAGCCUGGCUCACCCUGGCAGCUCAAGAGAUAUUUGUGCAGCUGACCUUUGAUUGGCUAGCUGGCACGGUGCCCGGGACCCCCACCCCAUGUGAGAUCAGCUUUUCAGCUAGAAUCACCCGAGAUGUUGCGUGGCGUUCCUAGGUCCCCAUCUCGGUGCAAACACCCUGUGACCUUGCCCACAACACAUCUCUCGCUGAGCCUCAGUUCCCCUCAUAUGUCGGGGAAGAUAGACCUGCUUUAAUCAGCAAGCGGCACACGGUAGGUGUUCAGGGGGCGCGGCAAACAGUAUGGUGAUGUGCAAGGCCCAUGUUAUUGAAGGGUCGGGCUCACCGUGUCUCAGAGACCCAGAAGCCAGGGCGUGGCCAGCACUGCAGGUGGGCGAGCACAGCUGGAGUGGACACGCCGGGUGCACGCUGCGUGGCCGUGUGGCCUUGGGUCCCGUGACCAGCAUCCACCCCAGGCUCUCCAUGACCCCGGUGCUCCACAGGAGGCCGCCGGCUGCCCUAACCUUGUCCUCCACCUGUAAACAAACUGUCUGCUUUUCUCCUGCUGACCAGUGCUCAUUGGCAGGAGACACAGAGAGAAACUUGCUGGUGGUGCUCAGUGUACUCUUCUCCCUGCUCCAGGCUGUGAACUCCAGGAAGAUCCAUCCACCCAUCAUCAUCGACUCACCCAUCUAUCUUUCCUUCUUCCCUCAUUCCUCCCUCCCUCCACCCACCCACCCAUCCAUCCUUUCUUCCUAGGAGAGGUUUGUUGAACCAGGACAUCCCACACGCCAGGUACCUAGUUAGAGACCUGAAUUGCCCUCUCUCACCUCCUCUUCUUGGCCAACUCCUAUUCAUCCCUCAAUACCCAACUGUGUUCUCACCUGCCGGGAGGUCCCUCCAGACGUUUGCAAUGAUGUAACCUUGUAACAAUGUAACCCACGCUACCGCACACCAUUUCUUGAGUCACCUGCUUCUCUGCCGACUGAUUUUAAUUACUGAGCCAGGGACUGGUGUGCAGAUGGAACCUCUUCUUGAUGGUGGGUCAGCCCCCACUCUGUUGCUGUCUGGGAAGAGAGUGAUCGUGAAGAGACAAGCAACAGCACAAAGCGCCAAGUCCUCAGCGACCGGUCACGAUCACCAGGCAGCCGUCAGUGGGGUGCCAAGUGGCCUGGGGUCCACCGUUGUCACGCACGGGCAGGGCAUCGGUGCCGAAUCUUGGGCCGCUGAAUCGUUUACAGGUUUUCAGGAUGGAGACAAUAGGAAGCCCUGGGACAGGUGAGACAGGACGGAAGCCUGCAGCGGACCCAGGCAGUUUCAGACGUUUCCUGGUGCAAUGAUUCAUCCAGAAAUUUAUUUUAAACCUCAUUUCUAUCCAGUGGUGAUCGUGGCAUGUUGAAACCGGACCCUGGUGUGGCUUUCUCCCCUCCCCCAGCAUCAGGCCAUGUGGAAGGGAAGUGCAGGGUCUCCUACCCCAGAGACAGUGGCAGGCAUGUCUCAGCCCCGUCACCAUCCUGCUGUGUGCAGAGCCUGGGCCUCUGAGUCCUCAUCUGAGAACUGCACAUGGGCCAGGUGCCCCGAGUCCCCUGACACGGACAGUCCUGCUGUGGCCAUACCCCUUCGCUGAGCCAGUCUUCUGCUGCAGGAGGGAGCGGCCUGCAUGGGAGCACGGGUUGUGGGGUGAGCCAAGCUCUCCUGAGUCACCGGGGUCAGACUCUUCCGCCCUGACCCGCGCAAGACAGAGAAGGAAAAAGUGACUUCCAAGAACUGAGUCGCAUUCAGGAACCUUUCUGCCUUGAAAGGACCCUUUCUCUGCACCGGCUGGCGCUUGCAAAGGGCUCUGAUUCUGCCCGCCUGGCUUCAGUUGCGUGUCCCAUUUUGUGUCCUAGUGUCCCCCAGCCAAGGAGGAGAUGGGUGGCCCGGCUGCCCUCCCAGAGCCCAGCUGUGCAAGCAGCGCUUUCUGGGAAGACAAAAGGAAUCUUCACGGAAGCCCCAGCUCAGCGCCACAUCUGGUCUGCGUCGGGGCAGAGGAACGUGUGGGGAGGGAACGAGAGUGUUCACAAUAAGUAGGACAACAACCACAUUUCCGGAGGGCUUGGGGCGCCUGGCACACAGGCCAUGAGACAGCUCACUGGGUGGUCCUAGAUGCAUCCAUCAUCCCUUCCAAAUGUCAUCUUCAGAGAGCCAGACAGAAUGUGCCUGCAAGGGCUCUGGCCGGCCUGGUCGCCCUGCUGGGUCACUAACUUUGUGAGUGCCCGUGGGUGGGCCCCUGUCUUUGGGGGCCUCCGUUUCCCCAUGUGUGGAGUGAUGGGGAAUGAGCCUCGGUUAGGGAAGGAGCCAGGCUUCCUCUGGUGGGGAGGAGUGGGGGUGCAGAAGUCAGGUGUGGAGCUGAGCUGGGGAAGGGGUGGGCUUGGCGAGACCCCGGCAGACAGGCUGAAGGGAGAAGCAGAUGCUGCUGGAGCUGCAGGGACGGGCCAGUGAGGGGUAAGUGGGCGUGCUUGAGUGGUUCUCCGGAAUGUUCCUUGGUGGGGGGGGUGGGGGGGGCAGCAGGUGCUCACCCCUUUGAAAUCCUGCUCUUCCCCUCCUCUUGGCUGGAAUGCAGGUCUGCUAGUUGGAGCUGCAGCAACCACAUUGUGACUCUGAAGACACACCACUCACUAAGUAUGCUGAAGCAGAGAGAGAGGAGGAUCUGGGGUUUCUGCCAACCUCACAUCUGCAGGAAGACAGCUAUAACCUAAUCUCUUACAAAUGCAAGACAGCUAUAACCUAAUCUGUUAUAAAUGCAAGACAGCUAUAACCUAAUCUCUGGUAUAAAUUAAAUGUGAAAUUUUUAAUCAAAAUUUUGCAAAUUGAAUCCAAUAGUAUGUAAAUAGGAUAAUAUUUUACAACCGAGGCAGAUUUAUGCCAGGAAUACAAGGUUGGUUUAACAUUUAAAAAGCAAUCAGAGUAAUUUACCACAUUAACAAGCAAAACAUGAAAAACCAACAAUCAUCUCAAUAGAAGCUAAAAAACCAUUAGCAAAAUCCAACACCUAUUUUUGGAAAAAAGUCUCAGCACACUAGGAGUGGAAGGGAACUUCCUCCAGAUCCAGGACACCUGCAAACACCCACCGUUUACACCCUACCUGGUGGAGCAGGACUCACGCCUCCGGGAGCAGGGACGAGACGAGGUAGGGGAAAAAGAACAAAGCCGAGGUAUUAUUACACCACCUGAUGAAGGGAGGCGCACGCGGCAUGCACUAUCUCCUGGCAUCCUUUUAAGGACUCCGCGGGGGAAACUGAGGUGUAGGAAGCUGCUGGAUUACUGGAUAUCCUGCAGUGGCGAGCAUGGGGGGCUGGAGGCUCAGGCGGCAGGACCGCCCAUUCUCUGCGGACUGCUGCAUUUCCAGCUUCCAGCCCCAUGCCUGGCACAUCGCGCACGCAGGGCUUGGGAAAUUACUAGUGGUAAGAAUUGUAAUGGCUAGCAGUCACUGUGCACUGAAUCCACGCCUGGAUUCAAACCCUGUUUGGAUGGGACGGGGUGCUGAAUGCACCCUUCCUGCACCUAGCGUCCUAAGGAGGGACUUUUCCUAGACCCUCCUGGGCUCUGGCCUCCAGCUUCUCGUGGCCCCUUGCAGGAGGAGAGCAUCCUUCCUUGCUGGAGCAUGCCACGCAUACGCACACAGCUUCUGAGCCCUCUGGCCACUCCGAGCACACAGUGUGGCAACUCCUCCCAGCCGCCAGGCUUGGGGGCAGCCCCUUGGAGAGGCUUGCGUGGGUCACUGCUGCUGGUGGCCAGGCGGCGGCCUAACCCCAGAGCCUGCCGUUAGGAAGCUAUUAUUGCUGCACAAUCGAGCUAUGUUCUUCUGAAUCCAGCCUUUUGUUCUGUUUUAAGUAACAAAGCUAAUAAUGCAUUUCCAUUCCCGUCUGCCUGAUUGCUUUGUCUCCCAGUUGGCUCCAGUGAAUCUCGGACAGGGCAAAAGUGUAUGGUUAAUUAAGACUUCUUUGCUCCCAGAGCUAAUCCACACACCGUCCCUGCGGGGUGGGUUUUGUUACUGUCCUCAUUGUGCAGACGAGGAAAUUGAGGGCCAGAAAGACAAGUGAGCGGAAGGACAAUGUCCCGUCAACGCACAGGCUCCUUGCCAUAGAACACCCAGCCUCUGACACAAAGGGCCAGGUGGGGUGGCAGGCAGAGGGGGUGAGGAGGACGGACCCUCUGGGGGCCGCCCUGUGCCCCGUCGGCUCCCCCCUUAGCGAUGGAAUCACAGGCAGGACAUGGGUGGCAUCCCAGCUGGAGGGCAGGGGCUGGGUCCCCAUGUGGGACCCGGCGGGCGCCAGGCCCCUCGCGCUGAGCAGGGCCACCCUGUGUGCUGGGGUCUGAGCAGCCACCGCGGGCUGGAGAGCAUGCUGGGCCGGGAUGCCGCCGUGUUCCCGGGGCCAUCUGGAGGCCAGUGUUUGUGCCUCAGCCUCUGGCAGGGGGAGGUUGCCAGGGCUGACUUUCCGCUGCGAAAGGAAAUGCUCUGGAAGGAAUGGGGUGGCCACGUGGACCACAGCCCCGUUUCCCAGCCAAGCUUAGGCUGCUCUUCCUUCCAAUGAUCCUCCCUGUCAUGAUGGCCGAAGCCGCUUUCUAGCCUCAUCCCCGGGGCUACAGGCCUCGCUCCGCUCAGCAGAUGCAGGCAGCCCCACAGGCCACACUCGGUUCCUGUGCCCCGGGAGCGCUGGGUCCAGUGGGGAGGCCGAGGAGCCGAGAGGCGGUCACGCAUCCACGGCCAGCACUGCGGCCGUGACGGUGAUCAGCUAGAGUCCUUCUGCAGCGCCGGGAAGCCCGUAAAGAUGACCUUAUUGAACACUUGAAACAAACUUUGAGGCUAUGUUAUCACCUUGUUUUAUAGACAAGGAAACUGAACUCAGAGAAGUUAAGGAACUUCCCUAAGGUCACCUAGCUAAAAGAGAAGCAGGGUUUUGAACCGUAUUGACUGACCCCAGUUUGUCGGAUUGUGAUCCGUGUGGUUUCUGCUUGAUAGAGGGGAGCAGAGAGGCUGGGAGAGCCCAGAGGAGGCACCAAAGAUAGGCCUGGCAUCAGAGAAGUCUGCCUGGGAGCAGUGAGAACACAGCUGGGUAUUGAGGGAUGAAUAGGAGUUGGCCAAGAGGAGGAGGUGAGAGAGGGCAAUUCAGGUCUCUAACUAGGUCCCAGCCCCGGGGUUGGGUGGUAAUCAGGAGGGCUUCUGGGGGGAGGUGUUUCCUGGGGUGACACCUUCAGAAUCCAUCUCCAUAGAGGCCCUGGGACAGACAGAGGUCGAAAACUCACAGCCUUUCAUCGAGGGCCCUCCAGGGCACGCAGGCCUCCCUGUGAACCAGAGAGGUUUCUGGGCCAUGGAAUUGGCAAAGGGCAGCAGAAAAGCAGGGCAGAAGGAAGACGCCUUUCAAAGGAGGGUCAAGAAUUUGCUGCUCGGGAAAUAUUUCUGGGAAAGUUCAAUGGGGUGGCCUGUGGAAUCUCAAAUAUUCCAAGUUUAAGAGGAAGGAAGGUUUGUGUUCCCCGGGAUAUCGGCCUGUCUUGGCUCUUCACGGGCGAGGCCGAGGCCUCCAGGGAGGGGCAAGGUCAGCACUGCGGAAGGCGUGCUUAGGGGAGCGCAAGUGGGAGGCGGGGGCUGAGCCAGCGACAGCCCCUAACGUGGAAAACAUUUGGGGCGGGCCUCUAUCUGCCUGCCACUCACCCCUGCUCUGUUCUGUCUACGUGGCUGCCCUGGGGAUGGGCGUCAUUAUUCCGGCGGUGGGGGGCGGGUGGAGACACCCAGGAGGCCCCACCCCCCACUGACUCUUGGACGGGUCCUCUGCAAGAUGCUGCCUCAUCUGCAGACCGCUAGGAAAGAAUCCACUGCAGGGGAACCAGGAUGUGGCUGUCAUCUCCAGGCCAGACCCA